GUAUAGAUUUUAUUUAAAAUUGAAGGACUCGCGUCCUCAAUCUUAUUUGAAACAUUCAUUAAACUUUUACAGGGUGUAAUGAAAAAUACAUAGACCAAAUUUCUCGGCCUACGAUAAGUGCACAGAGGGGUAGAUGAAUGAAGAAAAGAAGAGCGUGCACGAUGCCUCGAGAGACCAGCGACAACUCCCUUUUGAUUUAAUUCAUUAAUGAUCCUUCCGCAGGUUCACCUACGGAAA
rnacentral:misc_RNA from 1 species